rnacentral:rRNA from 1 species
GAACGCUAGCUACAGGCUUAACACAUGCAAGUCGAGGGGAAACGAUAUUGGAAGCUUGCUUCCGAUAGGCGUCGACCGGCGCACGGGUGAGUAACGCGUAUCCAACCUGCCCAUCACUUGGGAAUAACCUUGCGAAAGUAAGACUAAUGCCCAAUGACAUUUAUAGAAGGCAUCUGAAAUGAAUUAAAGAUUUAUCGGUGAUGGAUGGGGAUGCGUCUGAUUAGCUUGUUGGCGGGGUAACGGCCCACCAAGGCGACGAUCAGUAGGGGUUCUGAGAGGAAAGCCCCCCCACAUUGGAACUGAGACACGGUCCAAACUCCUACGGGAGGCAGCAGUGAGGAAUAUUGGUCAAUGGGCGAGAGCCUGAACCAGCCAAGUAGCGUGCAGGAUGACGGCCCUAUGGGUUGUAAACUGCUUUUAUAGGGGGAUAAAGUGUGCCACGUGUGGCAUAUUGCAGGUACCCUAUGAAUAAGGACCGGCUAAUUCCGUG